rnacentral:rRNA from 1 species
GGGGGAUAUUGCACAAUGGACGAAAGUCUGAUGGAGCAACGCCGCGUGAGCGAUGAAGGCCUUCGGGUCGUAAAGCUCUGUUGUUAGGGAAGAACAAGUAUCGGAGUAACUGCCGGUGCCUUGACGGUACCUAACCAGAAAGCCACGGCCAACUACGUGCCAGCAGCCGCGGUAAUACGUAGGUGGCAAGCGUUGUCCGGAAUUAUUGGGCGUAAAGCGCGCGCAGGCGGUCCUUUAAGUCUGAUGUGAAAGCCCACGGCUCAACCGUGGAGGGUCAUUGGAAACUGGGGGACUUGAGUGCAGAAGAGGAAAGCGGAAUUCCACGUGUAGCGGUGAAAUGCGUAGAGAUGUGGAGGAACACCAGUGGCGAAGGCGGCUUUCUGGUCUGUAACUGACGCUGAGGCGCGAAAGCGUGGGGAGCAAAC